UACGGAGGGGGCUAGCGUUGUUCGGAAUUACUGGGCGUAAAGCGCACGUAGGCGGCUUUGCAAGUUAGAGGUGAAAGCCCGGGGCUCAACUCCGGAAUUGCCUUUAAAACUGCAUCGCUAGAAUUGUGGAGAGGUAAGUGGAAUUCCGAGUGUAGAGGUGAAAUUCGUAGAUAUUCGGAAGAACACCAGUGGCGAAGGCGGGUCUCUGGGCAGUAACUGACGCUGAGGAGCGAAAGCGUGGGGAGCGAACAGG
rnacentral:rRNA from 1 species